rnacentral:lncRNA from 10 species
GAAAAAGAAACCCUGCUCACUGAAACCAACGCUUCUGUCUUUGUACGGGCCGUCGCUUCCAUCAUCCUGCGCAGGCCCUGACAUUGUAUAAGCUUCAGGCCCCACAAAACCUGGAUCUGCCCUGCCAGGAUCAGCAUCUAGAGGAAAACUACUACUUCCACAAUAGCACAACCAAUCUGAUCAUCCCUGCAUCAGUGAGCAUUCUCCAGAGAAACAGAGCCAACAGGAUAUGUGUAUAUAUGUGAAGAAAGACUUAUUUUAAGGAGUUGGCUCAUGCAAUUAUGGAGGUGCAAGUCCAAAAUCUGUAGGGCAGGCAGAUGGGCAGACUGGAGACCCAGAGAAGAGUUGCAGUUCAAGUCCAAAGUCGGUUGGAAGAAUUCCCUCUUGCUGGGUAACACUGGGGAAGCAGGAGUAGAUGGAAAGGGGAGGUGUCAGGCUUUGCUCUACCAAGGACUUCAACUGAUUGGAUGAGGCCCAGUAACAUUAUGGAGGGAAACCUGCUUUGCUCAGAGUUUACUGAUUUAAAUAUUAAUCUCAUCCACAAAAAAAUAAAUAACCUUCACAGAAACAUUUAGAAUAUUUGACCAAAUAUCUAAGUCCCAUGGCUCAGACAACUUAACACAUAAAAUUAUCCAUCACAAUUCCAUUAUCCCAAUACAGGUCGGCAGGGCCUUGGGCAGGUGGUAACCUCAGCUCUGGAGUCUACAGCAAUACUCUCACACUUAACAGAUGUAGUUCUGUGGGUCCAGGUCCCACUUCGCAAGAGAGAAUCUGAUGGGCUAAUUUCGACCAAGUCUCCUUUCCUAGUUCAAUCACGUGUAAGGGUUAGAGAAAGGGUUGGGCUCACAAGGGACUUAGGGCUGCCUCUCUGGACUUGGGAGAGCAGGACUUCUCAAGAGAUAAAUGGUUAGAGAGUAAUAUAAUUUGGAUAUUUGUCCCCUAUAAAUCUCAUGUUGAAAUUUGAUGUUCAAUGUUGAGGGCAGGUCUGGGACCUCCCUCCCUGCUUUUGCUCCCCCUCUCGCCAUAUGGCACAACUGCUCCCUUCACCUUCUGCUAUGAAUGGAAGCUUCCUGAGGCCUUCACCAAAAGCGGAGGCUGGUACCAUGCUUCACGCACAGCCUGCAGAAUCAUGAGCCAAAUAAACUACUUUUCUUUAUAAAUCAUCCAGUUUCAGGUAUUCGCUUAUAGCAACACAAAAUGGACUAAUACAGAGAGGAAAUAUUUUGAGCACAUUGAAGGCCCCAAAAUAUUGAGCUUUUUUUUUUUAACCUAUAUAGUACUUUUCUUGCAUCUCAGUUUGCUUAUCUAUAGAAUGAGGAUUAAUAAGACCUACCAACUUCAGGGGGUCAUUCUGGUGAGAUAAGUGAAAAAAUUUGUAAAGAAGUGUAUAAAUUUACCAUUGUUUUUUAAAACUAAAAUGAUCUCUAACACUAAGUUGAUGAUCUGAUCACAAAGAUGGGGUAGAUGAAAUGAAGAGAAAAGGUUUCUGACAUUUGUAUACUUAGAAAUGUAUCCAGGCUGGGCAUGGUGGUCCAUACCUGUAAUCCCAGCACUUUGAGAGGCCAACGCAGGAGGGUCACUUGAGGCCACGAGUUCAAAACCAGCCUGGCCACAUUGAGAGGUGACAGUGUGUUGGCAGUCCUCACAGC